rnacentral:sRNA from 1 species
AUGGGCACCGCAGCAAAAAGCCUGCGGAAAAUUAAUUUGUAUUUUUCCCCAAACAACGUGCUGGCAUACAUUUGCAAUUGAGUUUGUACAUAGUUUCACGGCGCACGGCAAGUUUGGCAACACAAGUUUUCACUCGCCCAAUUCACUGGGGCAUUUGAGGUGGAUCCUCGUGGCGUCGCUACCAAACUUAAUUCUCACAAAUGGCCAAAAACGAGAGCAACAACAGUAGGCGUAGCACACUUUGCCAUGUCUCCAGCCGCCAAAAAGGAUGCGAUAGUGGUUUCUUCGUUGCUUUUUCAUUUUUUAUCUACUGGUACGGAUGCGGCACGCGUAGACGCAUUAAAUCAAAUUAAAAGCGCGGCUAAAAGAAGUGACAAAACCCCAGGCGGGGCAUCACCCGGCAGCAUAAACAAACAAAAUCCAGCGUGGUAGAAAAAUAUAGCACACCGAUUGCGGCUCAUUCAUUAACCCGGUGCAAAGCCCUUUUGGCCCAAAAGCCGAAAAUUGCAAAUCGGCAGUUCAGUUCAGUUCAGUUCAAUUCAGGUCGGCUAAGCUUACUUGACUAUUCAGUAGAGGGAAGAAGGCCAAAAAAAAAGAAAAGAAAAACGUUUUGACUUUUUCACUGUAGUUUACGACGAUUUGCCUUCUUUUUAGCUCGUGACUUUGGUACAUGUGUCUGUGCGGCUUGUAAAAAUCACUUUUUAAAGCAUUUCGGCCGGGUAAAGCGACAGAUACACGCAUUGAAGCGUGGGCACUUUUGCGUUUUCCAGGACGAAACCAAAGGGCCACACCCACCGAGGCAGUCAGCCAGCAUAUUUAUUUUAUUCCAGCUCGUUCUGGCAGUGCAUAAAACUGUUUUUAACAUGUCCUGCCGCUUCUGCCGCUCCUGCUGCUCCUGUUUUUGUUGGCAUCCCUUUUUAUGCCAACUGUAAGCGAUCCGCACGAAACUGACACAAAUACGGGGCCGCUGAAGUGCCGAAGGACCAAAGGACUGAAGGGCGGAAGCCGAGUGUUGGACAAGCAGAUUUAAACCGUUACGGUUUACCUGCCACCACACCACUGUGCUCCUGUAAACACAUACAUAUAUGCGCACAUAUAGAUGACAACGCCGCACUUUGCGCAAUCACAGGAGCCGAUGGAGGCCGCCAGUUGGAGCGCAGUUUGGGGGCAGUUUUCCACCCGAGAGCAGGGCCAGAAUGCCUGGCGACGGCUGAGUGAAACAGCUUCCAUUGAUUUCACACAGCUUUGGUGAAGAAAAACACGUAAAAGCCGAUGCAGUGCCACACAAAAAGAAACAGGGAAGCCUAACAAUUUAAAAAAAGGAAAUAAUGAUCUGGUCCAGUGUACCGACAGGCAGUUACCCCAGGCUCACAGCUCAGAAAACAAUAUUUGUCCGCAAAAAAUGCCGUAUUAAUUUCAACUGCGGUUGGAGAGCAAAGUAAAAUAAAUUUAAAUAGUAUGUAAUACUUGGUUAAAAUUACAUUAAAUUGGGAAAAUCGUAUUAUAUCUUAA